GGGGUGAUAGCUCAGUCGGUAGAGCACCGGACUUUUAAUCCGUUGGUCCUGGGUUCGAGUCCCAGUCACCCCA
rnacentral:tRNA from 1 species